AGCAGCCGCGGUAAUUCCAGCUCCAAUAGCGUAUAUUAAAGUUGUUGCAGUUAAAAAGCUCGUAGUUGAAUUUCGGGAUCAAUAUGUUGGUCGUGCCUCGGUACGUACUAGCUUAUUGGUUUCUCCUUUCUGAAGAACCAUGAUGUCAUUUAUUUGGUGUCGUGGGGAAUCAGGACUGUUACUUUGAAAAAUUAGAGUGUUUAAAGCAGGCUCACGCUUGAAUACAUUAGCAUGGAAUAAUGAAAUAGGACGUUUGAUUCUAUUUUGUUGGUUUCUAGGAUCGACGUAAUGAUUAAUAGGGAUAGUUGGGGGCAUUAGUAUUCAAUUGUCAGAGGUGAAAUUCUUGGAUUUAUUGAAGACUAACUACUGCGAAAGCAUUUGCCAAGGAUGUUUUCAUUAAUCAAGAACGAAAGUUAGGGGAUCGAAGACGAUCAGAUACCGUCGUAGUCUUAACCAUAAACUAUGCCGACUAGGGAUCGGAUGAUGUUGAUUUUUUAAUGUACUCAUUUGGCGUACCCG
rnacentral:misc_RNA from 1 species